UAUUUUACUGGGUGACUCACUUACUUGAGUAACUUUCUAUUAAGGUAUCUAUAUUAUUUUACUCAAGUACGCCAAUUGGGUACUUUUUCCACCACCGUGCACACACACACACACACACACACACACAGAGAGCGAAAGAAAGAGAGAGAGAUAUACUUUUUAUGGCGCCCUCUCACCUCAUAACCCUUGCAAAUAAGAACAGCGCAAUAGUCAACUAUCAUUGGUGCGCUUAUCCCAUGCCGCUAGUGGAGGUGUUCGCUGUUCGUGUUCAGGUGAGCGCGUACAGUUAGUUUUACAGUCCUUAUUCCGCUACUUUCAUGAUCCACAGAGAGGAGGAGGAGGAGGACCUGGGACACAGUUGGCCCAUCGUGGUAUACCUUCCCGCAAUCCGGGGAAGAGCACGGACGGAGGGGAGGCUGGACAGGGAGAGGACGAGGCAUCAGAGGACGAAAACACGGAGAGCGGACACAGCCGACGCCAACGCGACAUGGAGAUGACAACCCGAAAUUUGCACCUCAACUCCAAAGUUGACAAUUGCGAUGGAGUGAUCAACAGAAACGGCGGUGACAUGACUGAGAUAUCUGUACCGCUGUCCCACCCUGGGAAGCGUAUGCCUCAAAUCGAGGGGGGCAAUCUUUAUAGAUUGCGAGAUAGAAAGGUUUUAUUGGAGGACAAAAAGCGUCUGUGCGCUUGGGCUCUGGGCACCGCGCUGCUUGGGACACUGCUCAUGAUACUGCACGCGGAGCUGUGCCCGUUGAUUUACCAACCAGGCUCCCGCUAUGCCUUUAUCAUCAACUGCUCCAUCAGCAUGUCCACUGGGUGUCUUCUGAUUCUCAUCGUAGCCUUCCAUUAUAAGGACAUCAGGCUCUUCAUCAUUGACCACAACCAGGUGGACUGGCGCAUCGCCAUGACAAGCCGCAGGGUGCUGGGCAUCUCCCUGGAGCUGCUGGUCUGUGCCAUCCAUCCCGUGGGCACCUACUGGGAGGUGGGUGUCCCUGCGCCCAUCGCCAGGGAGGGGGUAGAGGUCAACUCCUCCAACUCGGCGCCGCUGUGUGUGUCCUCCCGCCACGGGGAGGCGCUGUUGGACACAGAGCUGCUACUGUCGGCACUGAUGUUCCUCAGGCUGUACCUGGUCCACAGGACGAUCCUACUGCACAGCAAGGUGCUGCUCAGUGCCUCCUAUAGGAGUAUCGGCUCGCUCAACAACAUCAACUUCACGUUCCGCUUCGUGCUCAAGGUGCUGAUGAACAAGUACCCGGCGCGCACGCUGAUGGUGUUCAUCUUCUUGUUCUGGCUCAUCGCCUCCUGGAUGCUCACGCUUUGUGAGAGGCAGACACAGGAGCAGACUGGUCGUAUGGACACGGCUCUCUGGCUCAUUGCCAUCACCUUCCUCACAGUGGGAUACGGGGACGUGUCCCCCAAAACCAGCUGUGGAAAAGUGGUGUGCCUCUUCACCGGAGUCAUGGUAACUAUAUGGAGUCAUGGGUGUGGCCUGUACCGCCAUGCUGGUGGCCGUCAUGACCAAGAAGCUGGCGCUGAACAAAGGAGAGAAACAUGUGCACUUCUUCAUGAUGGACAUCCAGAUCUCCAAACGGAUCCGCCAUGCUGCUGCCAACGUGCUGAGGGAGUGUUGGCUGCUGCACCGCACCAACCUGACCAAGGGCAACAGUGGAGAGCACCGCAGACACCAGAGGUGCCUACUGGAGGCCAUCAGAGUAUUCCGGCACCUGCGCCUUAAACAAAGGAAGCUGAGAGAUUACGCCAGUGAGAUGGUCGACCUGCCCAAGAUGCAGAUGAUUAUGUGCGACUUGAGUGCCAACUGGAACAACUCUUACCGGGAGCUGGAGCAGCGCAUCAUCUCCAUGGAGCAGAAGUUAGAUGAGCUGGGCCACUGCUUCCAACAGACCUCUGAGCUGCUGGCACAGGCCCUGCGCUACCGCAACCCUGAAAUCAGGUGACUCGUGGCUGUGUGGUUGGGUGAACCACACUCGCUGCAGGCCUUUCCCAAAGACUAAAGAUGGAUGCUACCAGCCUUCUGUAAUUUCCAUCAGACUGGGAUGGGAAUCCUCUUCCCCCCCAAAGCUGCAUUUAACAUUUGACCUGCGGCACCACUUGGACUACUGCCAGGACCAAGGCUGGCAUCGUCUUCUGACCCAGCGGCUGAAUGGACCCUACACAAAGACUCGUACUUGUAAAGACAAAAAAGAAAAAGGACUUCAUUUUACUACAGCGGGGUCUGAUAUAGAUGACUGGUGUAUUUUUAUCAGAUGUGUUUAAUGUACAAAGUAUUGCGUUAACAAUCUCAAGAACUCCAGUAACACGGCCUCUGGUUCUGUAGUUUGUGUCAUCUCAGAGGGAGGGGCUCUAUGGGUUCACCCACUGAUGGCUCUGUAAAGUAUGUCCCCUAACUCCUGCUAUUAGUAUUACAAGUUACAUUGGAGGCUCCUAAACAUAAUGACUGGUUCCUAUGGAACAAGAGGUUUAAACAGCGUUUUUAAAUGUGAGGGACAUUUCUUUGAAUGCCACUCAGUAUUGACAGCCUUCCUCAAAGCGUCUUUCAAUUAUACAUUUUUCCACAAGUAAAACACAAUGGUUAUUCCACACAUUUUUCCUAACAGGAAGUAUAAAGCGGUGACAUCCUCAGAGGCACCAGUGUAUGAGACAACUGCCUUAUUACUAGAGAGAGCUGCUGGUCUCUUAUAAAAUACACAUCUCUGUUCUCUAACUGUUCUAAUCCUCUCCAUUUUGUUAGAUUAGGAAAUAAAACAAUUUCUCUUCACACGGCCUCAGUCAGAGGGAUAAACUGCUAGUCAGUUGCCAUGACUCAACACUCAAACACUCCCUAAGGUACUGUGGAGUUACCAAAGUAGACUUUCGCAUAAAGAACUAAUCUAGACGGUUAAGGCCUGACAUAUAUUGUUGUCUUAAGGAUGAUUGUAUGGGGAAGCAGUCAGUUUACAUAGUUAAGCUGUUCUCAUAAAGAUCAAGAGACAAGUGGCAUAGCCUAAUAAAGUACGCAGGCUGAUAUUUAUUGGGACGACUCAUGUACUGGAGGCAGCUCUGCAGAGUGGUCACUAUCUGGGACAGCCACAGUCAUAAAAUCUGAUUUCAAACCUAACCACACUGCUAAACAUGCCUAACCAAAUUUUUGUUUUCAUGAAUUUUUACAAUAUAGCAAUUUCGACUUUGCAGCUGCCCCAUCUAGGGGAAAACCGCUCAGUUCUGCCUCCAGGGCAAGACUCACGACAAUAAACGUCAACCUGCAUAAAGUACAUGGAGACAUUACUCACUGUUAUUCUAAUUCUGAUGUGACAGCUCCCCCCAGAGGAUAUGUACAUGCAUGACAAUCACACACCAGUCAUAGACAUGAAUGAAUGUCAAACGACAUCAUAUUCUUGGGUCUCUGUGGCAGCCUAUGGGUAAUACAUCAUCACAAUCUGAAUACUUUUGAAAUCUUUUACCAAACAAUACUUGUGUGACAUGGAUUGUUUUGGACUAGUAACAGCCAAAUUAUACUUACUACACAGGUAGUAUUACAAGUGGCCAGUCUUUAAAUGAGGGUGCAUUUUUAGAACACAGCUGUCAAUACAUGUUGCACUCAAGUGUGAAUGGGGAAAUAUGGGUCAGUGGCACAGCAUUGUCUUAUUUGCAUAAUUUAUGUUAUUCACUUUGUGAAUCAACAAAUUGUACUUGUUCUCCAGCCCCAAUGGUAAGGCUGGUAAUCUGGGGCAUUACUAAAUCAAGCACCUUGUGGGGACAACUAUUCCCAUGGUUGUAUUUAAACUGGACUUCUGCAUUUUCAUUAACUGGAGUGAAGAUAUGUAAUUCUUAAAAAUAUAUAUUUUGUUUUUUUAGAUUCUGCAAAAACAAUGUGAAGUGAAACGUUUAUAGGUUUUCUUUUGCCCAUGAUAAAACCAUGCAUUGUAAAUACAUUUUCUGGUCUUCCUGACAAUUAAAAGCCAUUGGUGAUUGGAA